rnacentral:lncRNA from 1 species
CUUCCGCGCGCUGGAACGGACUAAUGUCAGUCGAAAGUUUACAGAACCGGCCCCCUUUGGUGCACUUUAUGCGCGAACUAGGCCCCUGGAUGCGGUGCGGCGCCGCGGUCCGGGAUCGGGACAGGUGCAGCCCCCACGCCUGCGGCCAGACGGGACGGCCGGACCCGUGACAGAAGUCUCUUUGCUUCCCAACCCGGAUGGAGACGUCUCCAGAACCUGGAGGGACACGUGCAUUUUCUCCCUCUUGGACUCUACCUCACCGGUCUGGAAGUCCUCCGAAGACUUUUUCAAUUUUUUUCUCCAAAGGAAUUUGUUUUCGUGCUUGUGUAAUAAAGCCAGAAUUUUACUUGCUCCUUAAUUCCCCUUCUGUUUUCUUUUUGACUGUCAGCCCCACUUUCUGGACAGAAGAUCGACUAUGUUUCCUGGUGAAGUGCUGGUGUACGCUCAGGGUAUUCUGAAGCCCACUCGUUUUCUAAUUUUUACUGGAUUCCAAAGCUUUGAUCAAGGUCGUCUCUUUUAAGAGUUUCAAGCUUAUGACUGUUAAUGUAAGGAUUUGUAUGGCUUUGAAUUUCAUGAGCUCAGUGAUUACCAAGAGAUGCAAAGUACAACUUAAAAAAAAGUUAAGGUGUUUAUAUAUAAAGUUUUAUAUUGAAGUUUAAUAUUUAUAUUUACUGAGCUCCUUAAGUAAAAUGGUAGAAUAUUCUUUAAAAGUUUUGUUUUAAGAAAAGUUGACUUACUUUAUUCAUUUUAAUUGAAUAAAAUUGAAGUGUUUUGAACCACAUGACUUGUGAUAAAAAUUGAAUAAAUUUUGAAUAUGUUGGCUACAAGAAUGACUGGAAUCCAGUUGGAGGUGAUUUGACCUCACGUCCUGGUCUAAAAUAAAAUUCAGGAUUGUUGAUGGGAAGAGAAUUAAGAUGGAGGGUUCUUAGGAGAGAUCAAUACGUGUGGACAUUGUAGAUAAACAGAAUACCCUUUAGAAUUCCCAGAACUGUGAAUGAUCUAUAGGGAGGGGCAGGGGCAUUUCUUGGUUCCAUAUAACUGGUCAAAGUUGUUUGGCAGAAAAGUAGAUCUUAAUUCUUUGUUGUUGAAUAACAAGAAAUGCCUAAACUAAUACUCAUUGUAUUUCUCAAAACCAUGACAAUUGGUUGACAUUUUGUCCUAUGAGUUUUCUUUUUCUCUUCUUCCCAUUCAUAAUUGUGUUUGCAAUCUUCGAUAGCUGAAGGCCACAGGAAUCAAAACAUCGAGCCACACAGUACUGACCCUUCUUGUACACUUUUGUAAUAGUGUGUAUACCAUAUGGCCCAGAGUGGAGUUCUUGAUUAUCCAAGUGCCUUUGGUCAUUGGUGGCAGCAAGACUUGGUGGUUUUUUAGCCAGUGGUGCCACAGCCAGCUUUUUCUGCAAUACCUAAAGGGUCAAAUAGUGUUUUUCUACCACUGUUAUUUCAGAUUUAAGUGUUCUGCCAUGGGACAUUCAUACAGGGCUGGAACUUAUUAGGCCCUCAACGCUAAGGUUUAUCUCUGCUUGGCAGUUUCUUAGAAUAAUGAGAGUUGCAGUUUUGACUCUUGUGUUCCUAGAAUUCAAUGGCAUAGCUUUCUGAAUUAAGUAUUUUAAGUUUUUAAUAGUUCAUAAAAAGAGCUGUGACUUUAGUGUUUUUGUUUUGUAAAAAUACACACACACACAUAUAAAUACAUAUAUGACUUUAUGCCAGUUUCCCACAAGCCUCAAUCUUUUAUUCACCACUCAAUGAUACAUUGUUACAAAUACCGUUACUUGAGUACAGGAAAAGUGGGUCACCAUGAGAGGGGGGAGUGUUAAGAGUUCUGUCAUGGGAAGCUGAGACAGUCUUGGUUAUUAGCUUCCAUUGCCAAAUGUCUUUCAGAGACAUAGGAUUUUUCUUCCCAAAAAAUAUAUUGUUAACUUUUAUAGCUAACUAGCACCUGAUGAAAAUGCAUUUGUACCACUUCAUGUGUAUAUAGUUUUAUAACAAGAAAUAAAUCCAAUGGCCAUAUUAGAAUGUAAUUUCAACAUGGGAUUUAUCUAGAUACUUCCCAGAUGACUCUGAAAUUAAACAUGGUUGACGGUAAAAUUUACCUCAGCCCACCAUGGACAGGUAACCAGUUACACCAUGCAUUCAUUUUUACUGAGAUUUUUUUGACAUCCCUUUCUCUCACGCCUUGGUACUUUAGUGCAGUUUACCGUAUGCAUAAUGGUUUCUUUGGCUAAUUGAUCCGACUGACUAAAGUUUAGGUUUGAUUGCCAAUGCUGAGUUUGAGAUGGCUCAAAAAUAGAACCUUUAUUUUGCCAAGUUUUUUUUUUUUUUUCUGCAACAAAACCCAUGUUGCAGCUUUGAACAUAGGAAGACACAUCUAAUGUAGCCAAUGAGCCUGUUAUAAGAAAGUGGGAUUUUUUUUCCUGGGUACCUUGGGACAGAUUGUGGAAAGAAAACUUGACAUUGUGGCCUUUAAGACAAAGCAUCUGGAUCUUGUACUAGAAAGAUACUCUAGCUUGGUUUGUGGGCAGUUUUUAAAGAUGUUAUUUUCCCCUCUCUCAUCUCUCAUGGCACAAGUAGAGAGUUCACCUGGGAGGGGCUGCAUCACCUCACUAAGCUUUUAUUUAGUUCUUGACUUUUUGAGUUCCUACUUGUGGUGACUGGCACCUCAAGGUAACCUUGUUAGGUUCCCAAUGUCAUUUAUAUCCUCCUCCCCAUCACCCAGCAACUUACUUUUACUUUGCUAAGCCAAUGGCCUGGCGACGGCUGAGGGCAAGCUUCCGUGUUGAUAGUGCAGUGUUGCUGACGUGGUGCCUAUUUAUUUUGUCUGUUGCAGUAUUCUAUGGACAAGUGUGACUUAAGCUGGUAGCUCAUACCUAUUGAUUUGCCAUGUGUACAUAAUACUACUAUUUUUCAAAAAACUUUAUAAAAAACUUUUAAGAUAUUUGAAUACAAAAAAAUCACAAUUUUGAACUUAAAAGGUUUUUGUUGUCUUAAGGGUUGUUAUGGUGUUCUUUAAAUCGGUGAUUUUUGAUGAACAUACAUACAUAACAUUUCCUUUAUUGGUGUGUUCAGAUAUUUUUUGAUAAGCUGUUAUGUCUUAAGUGCAUUAGAACACAAUUGUUUGUAAUGGAACUGAAGUGUUUCCCUGGACAGUUUAAUGUGCAUAUGAAUGAGAUUUACAAUUUGGUUGUGUGUUGCUUUUUAACUUAUUAACUGUAAAUAAAUUUUAAGCAUAUAGUGUCUGGCUUUUCUAAUGAUAACCGG